CUCCGCCUGACAGCAGCUCUGCAUGGGGAGGCUCUGUGCCGCUUGUACUUAAAGGAAAACUGGAUGAAACCUGACACCGAGGGUGUGCAGUUUCCUUAGCAGGGAUUGCACGUUGCUGUUUCGGAAAUGGUGACUAAGAAGAGUUUUGCCGUCGGUCUCCCAGAGCCCGCAGCAGGCUACGGAGACCUUCCUCAAUCGUAAAAAGCAAACACCGAAAGCCACCACCCAGCAAACACGAGCAGCGACAGCUUCGUCUCAUUCCCACCACCAUCAAACCUUCCUGCCAGGAGCCACACGUAGAUUCUUUCAUCCCCUAAAGGGAGCGAUUUGGAAAACUACUGAUAUGAAUGUUGGAUAACAGGGUUAAAGUGAAACUAUUUUGCAAGCCGCUGCCUGGAGCCCCCUCGUCAUCACCGGCUGCACACGCACGGAUUCCGCCGGCCCGGGAUCCGGUGACUCUGGCCGUGAGACCAGCUCUGAGUUUAGUGGUGCACAGGAGAUGCUUUGAACGAAUCUAAACACUGUUUGAUGCUUGACCUUGCGGAUGUCUUCUGCAGCGAGGAGUUCCACGGCUCCUU